rnacentral:rRNA from 1 species
UUCCGGUUGAUCCCGCCGGACCUGACUGCUAUCGGAUUGAUACUAAGCCAUGCGAGUCUUUGUAGCAAUACAAGGCAGACGGCUCAGUAACACGUAGUCAAUCUAACCUAUGGACGAGGAUAACCUCGGGAAACUGAGAAUAAUACUCGAUAGACCAUAAUGCCUGGAACGGUUUAUGGUUCAAAUGAAUUUCGCCAUAGGGUGGGACUGCGGUCUAUCAGCUUGUUGGUGAGGUAAUGGCCCACCAAGGCUAUAACAGAUACGGGCUCUGAGAGGAGAAGCCCGGAGAUGGGUACUGAGACACGGACCCAGGCCCUAUGGGGCGCAGCAGGCGAGAAAACUUUGCAAUGUGCGAAAGCACGACAAGGUUAAUCCGAGUGGUUCCUGCUAAAGGAACCUUUUGUUAGUUGUAACACCACUGAUGAAUAAGGGGUGGGCAAGUUCUGGUGUCAGCCGCCGCGGUAAAACCAGCACCUCAAGUGGUCAGGAGGAUUAUUGGGCCUAAAGCAUCCGUAGCCGGCUCUGUAAGUUUUCGGUUAAAUCUAUAUGCUCAACAUAUGGGCUGCCGGGAAUACUGCAAAGCUAGGAAGUGGGAGAGGUAGACGGUACUCCGUAGGAAGGGGUAAAAUCCUUUGAUCUAUUGAUGACCACCUGUGGCGAAGGCGGUCUACCAGAACACGUCCGACGGUGAGGGAUGAAAGCUGGGGGAGCAAACCGGAUUAGAUACCCGGGUAGUCCCAGCUGUAAACAAUGCAAACUCAGUGAUGCACUGGCUUGUGGCCAGUGCAGUGCUGCAGGGAAGCCGUUAAGUUUGCCGCCUGGGAAGUACGUACGCAAGUAUGAAACUUAAGGGAUUUGGCGGGGGAGCACCACAAGGGGUGAAGCCUGCGGUUCAAUUGGAUUCAACGCCGGGA